GGGUAGUUUGACUGGGGCGGUCUCCUCCUAAAGAGUAACGGAGGAGCACGAAGGUUGGCUAAUCCUGGUCGGACAUCAGGAGGUUAGUGCAAUGGCAUAAGCCAGCUUGACUGCGAGCGUGACGGCGCGAGCAGGUGCGAAAGCAGGUCAUAGUGAUCCGGUGGUUCUGAAUGGAAGGGCCAUCGCUCAACGGAUAAAAGGUACUCCGGGGAUAACAGGCUGAUACCGCCCAAGAGUUCAUAUCGACGGCGGUGUUUGGCACCUCGAUGUCGGCUCAUCACAUCCUGGGGCUGAAGUAGGUCCCAAGGGUAUGGCUGUUCGCCAUUUAAAGUGGUACGCGAGCUGGGUUUAGAACGUCGUGAGACAGUUCGGUCCCUAUCUGCCGUGGGCGCUGGAGAACUGAGGGGGGCUGCUCCUAGUACGAGAGGACCGGAGUGGACGCAUCACUGGUGUUCGGGUUGUCAUGCCA
rnacentral:rRNA from 1 species